rnacentral:lncRNA from 1 species
CAUUUUAUAACGUGGCUCUUAUGCCAUCAAUAAAUUAGUAUUUAAAUUAUUGGCCGUUUAAAUAUCAAUACCGUCGACGGUUCCAAUAUUUUAUGUACGCAUUUCAUUCGGAUUGGAUAAUAUUUAUCGGAGAAAUGGCCCAAAUAUCCAAGAGUCAUUUUCCAAAGCAUUGGUCCUAUAGUGUGGCGUGUACAAGUUUUAUCCGAAUUAGAUAUGGGGCUGACAGAUGGACCAACCUAAUUCGUAUAUGAUUUAGGAACGGAAAGAGUCAAACAUUAUUAUCAUAUAGAAUAACAAAAACUGUGUAAUAGAUAUUUUCACUAAGAUAUUUAAAAGCAAAUUUUAUAAAUUAGGGUGUACCAGGACUGGAUGCUCCGUGUCCUCUAGGGCCCGACGGUUUACCUUUACCCGGUUGCGGAUGGCGACCUCCCAUAGGACCAAUACCCCCAGUUUCGCCUUCGACCAUAGACGACCAGGACGACCAAUAAUACAGAAAUAAAAUAACACUACUAAUCACUGCCAUUAAUAAAAUAAUCUGAGUCGAUUCACUUUAACGGUUUCGGCCAAUAAUCCAAGGCAUUUUAUUUUUAGUGACGACGAGUUUGGUAAUUCGAUCGACUGGUUGUCCAGGUGGAAAAAUUAGUUUUAAGAAAAUCUUACCAAGAAUUUGAUACGGUUAAAGUAAUAUUACAAAUUAGCAGCAUUUCUAGAUGUAAUGGAGAGGAGACAACUGGCGGAAUUAGUGCCAUUAUGGAAGUUUUGGUGGUGGAAAAAUUCGAGGUCUACCAGAAACAGUAGCUUUUCUAAUGUGGUAAACAUUUGCAGUUUUUGUGCCGUACCAACUGCGGUUACGCCCGGAUUAAAUGGAUGGUGUACUAACAGAGAUUUUACAGAGUUAAUUGUUUUGUUGUAUAAAUUAGUGCCAAACUGUUUUUAAACAAAUGUCGGAUAACAGGUUAAAAAAUGUUUGCUACGACAUAUCACCAUAUUCGAUUCGCCUCUUACAUCUUUAAGAAAAAAUUAUGGUCGUUUUCUAGAUUUAUUUUCUAUGUACAUUUUUACCGAGCAGGAUGUAAAUAUUUCUAGUCUGUCUUCGGAGCUACUGUCCGAUUCGUUUUUUAAACCAGCUGGUAGUAGAAGAUCUACGUUUUCCGACUAAUGUAGAAGGUGCUACGUUUUACAUUCGGCUGAUCGGACUGGGGCCAUUGGUUACUAUCCUGAUUUAUCGUCUCUCGGAUUAAU